rnacentral:lncRNA from 1 species
GAUGCAAUAGCACAAGCAUACCAGGCCCGACCGGGACCUCAAAGCCCGUAAAGCUCCCGCCAUCGUGCUGCAACAGGCACGCCGUCGGCGUCGCCGCCCCCUGUCCAAGCUGCUCCUCCUCCUCACCAUGCAAAAGAUAUCGAAGCCAUGCCGGGUGCCGGCCCGCCAGGACCCAGAUGUAGCCCGCAGGCGCAGAUCUGGGCCAGGGGCGUGCCACCGGCCACACCACGCCGCCAUGCCGCCAAGGAGCAACGCCGCCACCUCGCCUGCCGCCGGGCCGAGCUGCACUGCCGCCGCCCCUAUCCCGGGAAGGGGAAACGCGCGCGAUCCCGCCGCGGCCGACACCACCCAGGCCAG